UAUACAUCUGAUCUCAAUAUAUUCUAAUUUCCCCAAUUUUGAAUAUAUUAUUAAUAGUCUGGACUACGUUUUUUUAUUUUUAAAUGCGUUGUUUAUAUUAUGUGCAGGCUGAAAUUAGUUAUUGCAAACGCCCACUUUCUAAAGUAGGCGUUUCCUAACAUAAACAGACUAAAUCGUGUUAAUAUUGACCAAUAAGAUCGCGCUAUGUUGUACAUGGCUCUUCCCACCCUGCUUCACAGGCACUUCUGUGCUAUCUCAGUGUAAUUAUAUGAAUCUUUGGCGCGAGUGCUGGACACAACCUCCAUUUUAGAACAUGUCAAGGCCACAGCCAUCAACAUUUUUAAUGCAGCACCAGGACAUGGCAGAGACAACAUCCGAAACACUGCAGGAAUGGAAAGAUUUGGAGGCGGCAUCCGAUGAGGAUUUGGAAGUGUCCUCGUAUGACCUCAUGACUGAUCCUCAGUUCCCCCCAUCAAAGGACCCCUACACCCCACCAGACAGUGAGACACCCUGCCCUUCCUCCACCCUGACCACGGGGCCUGGAUCCUCCCCUUUCACACAGAAGAAGGACUUCACUGCUGCCGUUUCCUCCAAGAGGUCUCGGGCCUCUAGUUCCACAGAGUCGAGAGGCAACACACCCAUUGGUUCCCAGAGAGACCUCAGUGAUGUGGAUUCUGACCAGAUGGACUUUACUUUUGCUGCCACGGUCGCCAAGAGAUCCAGAGACACUUGUCUGUCUGAGAACCGAGCCAACCACAGCCAAAUGAGCAUGACGUCAGAUGAGGAUUUUGACGUGUUGUCAGAUGAUCAAAUGAAUUAUCCCCACUUCAUCCCAGCAGAGGAAAACUCUGAUUCAACAGACAGUGAGACACCCUGCACGCCCUCUACCCCGUCCCCAAAGUCUAAACCCGGCCCUGUCAAACAGAAGAAAAGCAUGUCUACAUUAACAAUCAAAACCUGCAGUAAGACCAAGGAUGGGAAAAGGCUCUAUGACAAAAAGCAUUUCUGUAUAUACUGCAUGAAACCCAAUUCUAAAAUAUCCAGGCACUUAGAAAGAAAGCAUGGAGAUGAGGAGGACGUAGCCCGGGCUUGUAGCUUCCCGAAAGGCUCUAAGAAAAGGUCAGCCUUACUUGAAGAGCUGAGAAACAAAGGUGACUAUCAACACAACAUCUUAGUGCUUGAAGAGGGGAAGGGAGAGAUCGUUACAUGGAGACAACCCCCAGGAAGUGCUUCCAUUGAGGACUACCUGCCCUGUUCUCACUGUCUGGCUUUUUUUGUGAAGAGCAUGUUAUGGAGGCACGAGUUGUCAUGUAGGCCGAAAAAGGAAGGAGAAAAGGGGUCAAAGGUUAUUGAAACAUCAGUCCCCAGGAAGAGGGUUCAAUCUCUAGCUUCCCAUCUGAUCCCAAUCUGUAAAAGUACUUUGCAAGAAUCCCUGAAGAUUGUAGACAAAUCACAACAAGAAUCAGCAACAUUUCUGCAUUCAGACUUCAGUUUUGAUGCCACGGUCGCUACCAAGAAGUCCCGGCUCUCCAGUUCGACCAAGACCAGGGCCACCCGUCCCCGCUCCCAGAGAGUCCCUAAUUACACGUUUUCUGACCAAAUGAGCUUGACGUCAGAUGAGGAUUUUGACGUGUUGUCAGAUGAUCAAAUGAAUUAUCCCCACUUCAUCCCAGCAGAGGAAAACUCUGAUUCAACAGACAGUGAGACACCCUGCACGCCCUCUACCCCGUCCCCAAAGUCUAAACCCGGCCCUGUCAAACAGAAGAAAAGCAUGUCUACAUUAACAAUCAAAACCUGCAGUAAGACCAAGGAUGGGAAAAGGCUCUAUGACAAAAAGCAUUUCUGUAUAUACUGCAUGAAACCCAACUCUAAAAUAUCCCGGCACUUAGAAAGAAAGCAUGGAGAUGAGGAGGACGUAGCCCGGGCUUGUAGCUUCCCAAAAGGCUCUAAGAAAAGGUCAGCCUUGCUUGAAGAGCUGAGAAACAAAGUGUUUCAGAAGGAUCCCAGAAGAUUGUAAAGAAACCACAACAAGAAUCCGCUGCAUGUCUUCAUUCAGGUGGGAUAAUCAUUCUGUUUCUCUCUUCUGUCUGUCUGUCUGACUUUAUCGGCCGGUGGGUCUGUCUGACUGACUUUGUCAGUCGGUGGGUCUGUCUGACUGACUUUGUCGGCCGGUGGGUCUGUCUGACUGACUUUGUCGGCCGGUGGGUCUGUCUGACUGACUUUGUCGGCCGGUGGGUCUGUCUGACUGACUUUGUCGGCCAGUGGGUCUGUCUGACUGACUGACUUUGUCGGCCGGUGGGUCUGUCUGUCUGACUGACUUUGUCGGCCGGUGGGUCUGUCUGUCUGACUGACUUUGUCGGCCGGUGGGUCUGUCUGACUGACUUUGUCGGCCGGUGGGUCUGUCUGUCUGACUGACUUUGUCGGCCGGUGGGUCUGUCUGUCUGACUGACUUUGUCGGCCGGUGGGUCUGUCUGUCUGACUGACUUUGUCGGCCGGUGGGUCUGUCUGUCUGACUGACUUUGUCGGCCGGUGGGUCUGUCUGUCUGACUGACUUUGUCGGCCGGUGGGUCUGUCUGUCUGACUGACUUUGUCGGCCGGUGGGUCUGUCUGUCUGACUGACUUUGUCGCCGGUGGUCUGUCUGUCUGACUGACUUUGUCGGCCGGUGGGUCUGUCUGUCUGACUGACUUUGUCGGCCGGUGGGUCUGUCUGUCUGACUGACUUUGUCGGCCGGUGGGUCUGUCUGUCUGACUGACUUUGUCGGCCGGUGGGUCUGUCUGUCUGACUGACUUUGUCGGCCGGUGGGUCUG
rnacentral:lncRNA from 1 species